UACGUAGGGGGCGAGCGUUGUCCGGAUUUAUUGGGCGUAAAGCGCGUGUAGGCGGCUUGGCAAGUCGGAUGUGAAAGCCCACGGCUCAACCGUGGAAGCGCAUCCGAAACUGCUUCGCUCGAGUCUCGGAGAGGAAGGUGGAAUGCUUGGUGUAGAGGUGAAAUUCGUAGAUAUCAAGCAGAACACCUGCGGCGAAGGCGGCCUUCUGGACGAUGACUGACGCUGAGACGCGAAAGCGUGGGGAGCAAACAGG
rnacentral:rRNA from 1 species